AGUGAACGCUGGCGGUAGGCCUAACACAUGCAAGUCGAACGGCAGCACAGUAAGAGCUUGCUCUUACGGGUGGCGAGUGGCGGACGGGUGAGGAAUACAUCGGAAUCUACUUUUUCGUGGGGGAUAACGUAGGGAAACUUACGCUAAUACCCCAUACGACCUACGGGUGAAAGCAGGGGAUCUUCGGACCUUGCGCGAUUGAAUGAGCCGAUGUCGGAUUAGCUAGUUGGCGGGGGAAAGGCCCACCAAGGCGACGAUCCGUAGCUGGUCUGAGAGGAGGAACGGCCACUGUGGACCGGAGACAGGGCCCCGAGUCCGACGGGGGGCACGAGUGGGAAAUAUUGGAAAAUGGGCGGAAGCUGGAACCAGCCAUUGCGCGUGGGGGAAGAAGGCAUUUGGGUUGGAAACCCCUUUUGUUGGGAAAAAAAAACAGCAGGUUAAAACCCCGUUGUUCGCGGGGGACCUAAAAAAAAAGCCGGGGCGAACUUGGG
rnacentral:rRNA from 1 species